GUGUGGCGAACCCGGUGGUCGAGAGGCCGCACUCCGAGAAGGCCGAAGGGAUUAAAAGGGUCGCCUAGGCUGUGGGCCUUCGAGCCGGGUUUGACCUCGGUUGUUCUGGCCCAUUUCCGCCGAUUUUGAGGGAUGAGCUCGGGCAGGCUACAUCUAUCUCCGAAAUGGCCGUCGCUCAUUUUUCUCAUUUCAUUAUGAUUUCGAUUGCACAGUCAGCCUUCUAUCCGGGUCUUUUGUGGCGCGCGAGUGUUGCCGGGAUAGCACUUUCUUGCGUUCCUCAGUCAGUCCUUUUUUUUUUACCCUGUUCGGUGCCUUUUCCCCUGCUCCCCGUUUCCCCCCGGCCUCCCCUUUGCCACUUGGGCAACAAAGCUCAUUGUUUCUACUCACUAUGCGCCUGCGCGUCGCCACGCGCAGGCCCUACUGCUGCGCCUGCGCGUUUCUGCGGAUGCUGGGUUUAGGGAGAAAAGGGACUGGCAGGCUGGCGGUGUCCCUGGGGAGCACUCUGUAACGGUCGAACGGCUUGUAUCUUUUUCAACCUCUUCCAUUUCUUCAACAUCCCUACCCCUUUAUUUUAAGCUUUAUCACGUCCUUCAGAUAGGGCCGUUGUUUGGGGGCGCUGGGAACACACAAGGCUUUAGCUAGAUAAACUUAAAAGACCCGUUCAAUUUUUACGAUUUGAUACUGGUCCUUUUACCUUUCGUUAAUAUGUGCUUAUUCACCACCACUACCACCUCAGUGAAAGGAAAGAGUAGGAUAGUAGGGCUUGUGUUGAGGUUAAUUUUUAAAAAGGUGCUGAAGCAGCCUGCUGUAAUUUUCUAAAUCUGUCUAAAAGAUUUGGCAGCCCCAAACCCUUGAACGAAGUUGGUUUUCUGUUUGCUGACAGCCUUUGACUCUUAUUUCAGUGAACGUUCAUUUGUGUAUGCUGGCUGAGAGUUUCUUGUAUCAAGGUAGCACGUUUUUCACACGUUUCUUUUAGCAGUGGAUAGGUGUUGAUUCAUUUAGUAGCGUCUGAAAUUUCAGCUGUGGAUUGUUCCAACUAGAUAAGUCUAUGCAAGGACUUUAAUGAGUUCCAGUACCUAUUCUGUGGUUCUGGUUUGUUAAUGACGGGAUAUUGAGAACAGUCUCUGUGUUAGUGGUCUUGAACAAAACAAUUCUCACAAAUAUGUAUCCCAAAGAUAGGUAACUUUCAAAAAAAAUUAUACCCUAUUUAUCUGUUUCUUUAGGGGAUGGGGGGAAUGGCGAUUCACUGUAAUGGUUAAAGGCUGUGCAUAUUGGUCCUUGAGAACUCAAACCGAGGAGCCUGCCCUGCAUCAUCUUCUUUUUAGAAGUUCAGCUUCCUGUGGACUAGGAAUGGAUCCUGAUUGCUGUUGGCAGUAAUGAUCCAGCAUCUUCUGUAGAAAGUGCUGCUCUUCCUUGCUCCAAAGGCUGUGAGUUGUUGCCAGGAUUAUGUCUCCAAAGAGGCAUGCAGCAAACUAAAAGUGUAGUUUAUUGUGGUUCUUAGCCUACAUUUAAAUAGAACAACAUACAAACAUCAGAGGUUUGUGUGUGUGUAUCUGUGACCCAUUUCCUGUGAAUGGCAGUAAACUCAUGUAAAUUAAAUUAAUAGUAAAAUUCAAAUCUGUCAAAUUAAGAGAAGAUAUAUAAGAAACAAGGAUGAAAGUGAAGCAUGGUGAAGCUUGUGAGCUCAGCAAGGAGGUCUUUAGUUCACAGGCAGCCUAAUGUACAAAGACUUAAGGCCUGGAAGUAGAUAGCUUGUAAAGUUUUGGAGCACUCAUUGGUUUGUAGAGGGCCUGAGUUUGGCUCCCAACUAUCUUAUCUCCAAUUUAAGGGAUCUAUGCCCUUUUCUGACCUCCACCAGCUCUAAAGGAGCUAGCAAGGGCUGUAGGUCAGUGGAAGAGUGCUUAGUUAGCAUAAACGAGAUCUUCAUUUUCAUUCCCCAGUAUGCAAAUCAAGAAAAAUAAUGGUGAACAAUGAACCUAGUAAAAUAAAGACGGUAAUAUGAAUUGUUAAGUAGACAAAAGUUUGUUUCAAAGAUACAUUCUAACUUGGGCACUCAGAGAACUGACCCUGCCACUGGUCUGCCCUGAGGUGCAGUCUGUACUCCCACCCCAAACCCUUCUCCAUCUUGGGCAGAUGGGAAAAGUAAUCCUGCCUCUUCCUUGGAUGAGCUGUCUGGGCCAGUGCUGGAGAGCUUCGGGCUGACCAACUCAGCUAACAUCCAGGCCCAGAUCCAGGGCUUUGAGUUAGGGAAUUUCAUCUACCCCAUCUAUGAACUGCUAGAGCUGGUCCUGCAGAUCCAAAGCUGCAGGAUUUCCACAGAGCAACAAGAUACAGGAGAGGACUUCUUUUGAGGAUUUCAGUAUUGAUAGUGUAGCAGAAACCUGAGGCCUCAAACCAGACCACUGACGACUGUGGACAUUUGCAAGUAGACGAAAGGAUGGAUGGAUGGGUGUGUGUGUGUGUGUGUGUGUGUGUGUGUGUGUGUGUGUGUGUGUGUGUGUGUGUGUGAGAGAGAGAGAGAGAGAGAGAGAGAGAGAGAGAGAGAGAGAGACGCUACAGCUUCUACAAUAUGGUUUGUUUUCUCUGCAUGCAUUUGUGCACUCAGGUGUGUGUUUCUCUUGGGGGGAGGUUACAAGAGCAGAGGUUGGAUACAGAGUAACGGGGAGAUGAGUGGGACUGGGGUGCAUGAUGUGAAAAAAUUCAGAAUAAGAAAUUAAAAAAAAAAAAGAAACGAGGGGCUGGAGAGAUGGCUUCAGUUAAUAGGAUGUACAGCUCUUGCAGGCCACCAGAGUUCAGUUCUCAGCACUCAUUAGGUGACUCACAAUUCCCAUAAACUCCAGAUCCCAAGUGGUACAGUGCACUUUUCUAGCCUCUGUAGGCACCUGCACUUACACAUACACCUAGUGAAAAUACAAGAAAAAAUAAUGUAUGCUAGAUGGUUGUGGUAACAAAGGCCUACAGCCUCAGUAUUCAGGAGGCUAAGGCAGGAGGAUCUUGAGAUGAAGGAUAGCCUCGGUUAUAUAGAGACCCUAUCUCAUUCCUCCACUCUUCAACAAAGAAUUGAGUACAUGCUUGGUAGUACAUAAUUUACCUGGCUUGUGUUCAGAUGCCCUGAGUGUAAUCCCCAACACAAAUAUAAGGAAAACAGUUAAACACACAAGAAAAUAAACAUCAUGGGGAAAAUAUUUAAUGGAAUCUAAAAAGGUAAGAAAAUUAGACAUGGAAUUAGGAUGGAAAAUAUAAAACAAAACAUCGGUCAUCAAAAAGUUUAUAGGGGCUGGGGAUUUAGCUCAGUGGUAGAGCGCUUACCUAGGAAGCGCAAGGCCCGGGGUUCGGUCCCCAGCUCCGAAAAAAAGAACCAAAAAAAAAAAAAAAGUUUAUAAAGGGGGGAAAAAGACAACUGAGCAGUGAGUGCAAACUCCUUUAAUCCCCAUCACUUGAGAGGUGGAGGCAGGUGGAUCUCUGAGAGCAUGGAGUUUCAAGAUAGCCAGGACCAAUAACUCACAAAAGAAACCUAUUACCUG
ensembl:lncRNA